UACCGAGUGCGGGCCCUCUGGGUCCAACCUCCCAUCCGUGUCUAUCUGUACCCUGUUGCUUCGGCGUGGCCACGGCCCGCCGGAGACUAACAUUUGAACGCUGUCUGAAGUUUGCAGUCUGAGUUUUUAGUUAAACAAUCGUUAAAACUUUCAACAACGGAUCUCUUGGUUCCGGCAUCGAUGAAGAACGCAGCGAAAUGCGAUAAUUAAUGUGAAUUGCAGAAUUCAGUGAAUCAUCGAGUCUUUGAACGCACAUUGCGCCCCCUGGUAUUCCGGGGGGCAUGCCUGUCCGAGCGUCAUUGCUGCCCUCAAGCACGGCUUGUGUGUUGGGCUUCCGUCCCUGGCAACGGGGACGGGCCCAAAAGGCAGUGGCGGCACCAUGUCUGGUCCUCGAGCGUAUGGGGCUUUGUCACCCGCUCCCGUAGGUCCAGCUGGCAGCUAGCCUCGCAACCAAUCUUUUUAACCAGGUUGACCUCGGAUCAGGUAGGGAUACCCGCUGAACUUAAGCAUAUCAAUAAGCGGAGGAAAAGAAACCAACCGGGAUUGCCUCAGUAACGGCGAGUGAAGCGGCAAGAGCUCAAAUUUGAAAUCUGGCCCCUCCGGGGUCCGAGUUGUAAUUUGUAGAGGAUGCUUCGGGUGCGGCCCCCGUCUAAGUGCUCUGGAACGGGCCAUCGGAGAGGGUGAGAAUCCCGUCUGGGACGGGGUGUCCGCGUCCAUGUGAAGCUCCUUCGACGAGUCGAGUUGUUUGGGAAUGCAGCUCUAAAUGGGUGGUAAAUUUCAUCUAAAGCUAAAUACUGGCCGGAGACCGAUAGCGCACAAGUAGAGUGAUCGAAAGAUGAAAAGCACUUUGAAAAGAGAGUUAAACAGCACGUGAAAUUGUUGAAAGGGAAGCGCUUGCGACCAGACUCGCUUCCGGGGUUCAGCCGGCUUUCGGGCCGGUGUACUUCCCCGGGGGCGGGCCAGCGUCGGUUUGGGCGGCCGGUCAAAGGCCCCUGGAAUGUAACGCCUCUCGGGGCGCCUUAUAGCCAGGGGUGUCAUGCGGCCAGCCUGGACCGAGGAACGCGCU
rnacentral:sRNA from 2 species